rnacentral:rRNA from 1 species
ACGAACGCUGGCGGCAUGUUUAACCUAUGCAAGUCGAACGGGGGACCAGGCGAGUUUUCGGACGGACCGGGACCUUAGUGGCGAACGGGUGAGUAACGCGUGAACAACCAACCCUGUACAGGGGGAUAACUUUGGGAAACCAGAGCUAAUACCGCAUAAGACCACGCUAUCGCAUGGUAGAGGGGUCAAAGGAGCGAUUCGGUACAGGACGGGUUCGCGUCCCAUUAGGUAGUAGGAGGGGUAACGGCCCACCUAGCCUGCGAUGGGUAGCCGAGCUGAGAGGCUGAUCGGCCACACUGGGACUGAGAUACGGCCCAGACUCCUACGGGAGGCAGCAAGGAAGAAUAUUGGUCAAUGGGGGAAACCCUGAACCAGCAAUGCCGCGUGAAGGAAGAAGGCCUUCGGGUUGUAAACUUCUGUGACGGGGGACGAAGGAAGUGACGGUACCCCGAGAGGAAGCCCCGGCAAACUACGU